rnacentral:rRNA from 1 species
GACGUAGGGCGCGAGCGUUGUCCGGAUUUAUUGGGCGUAAAGAGCGCGCAGGCGGUCGUUCAAGUCGAGUGUGAAAGCCCCCGGCUCAACUGGGGAGGGUCACUCGAUACUGAUCGACUUGAAGGCAGGAGAGGGAAGCGGAAUUCCCGGUGUAGUGGUGAAAUGCGUAGAUAUCGGGAGGAACACCAGUGGCGAAGGCGGCUUCCUGGCCUGUUCUUGACGCUGAGGCGCGAAAGCUAGGGGAGCAAACGGG